AGCCAGGUGUCCACACUGUCACCAAUUAGGAGCCAAUUGAUUCAGCUCAGUCUUUAAUUUGGUCAGUGAAAUUGUUCUCUCCCUCUUUUUGUCUAAUCGUUUUCAAUAUAGCACAAAAAACAUAAUGUGAAUGCGGGACUUUUAUUCUUCAUGGCACGCAUAGCUAUUUCUGGCAUAAUGUGGCUUAAGAGGGUACAUAAUCCCUCUAAACAUGAAAAGCUUCUGGUUAAGAAAAAAAUGAACAGCUCGUUAAGCUUCUGAGAUUGCAGUUGCGUUUGGAAGGAAAGUCGACAUGCACGGGGUUCCCCAGGACCAAGUUCAACAACCACCAGCCCAUGUUAAUGUCAGUUUGUCCUCCUGCACCUGUGGGCCAGGUAGAGCACCUCCUGAGGAGCUGGAGCAGGAUGUGAGGUCAGAGACUUUCAAGAUGGCAGACUGCAUUGGGUGUGAUUGGGAGUGACUUAGCAGAAAGUAGCAGCAGAAGAGUUUUAUAUUUCCUCAAGCUCCAGUUUCUCUACCUGUGAGAAGUUCAAGACUCUUUACCUGUUGGAGUGCUUUACCUGCGCUGACCUAAAGCUCAACUGGAGUUUCUGCCUUGAGAACCUUGACUGGGGAAUACUCUCUCUUCAGCAGGUAAUCCACAUAGUUCGGAGCACCCAAUCGUUCCCUGGCUGCGGGUAUGCCCCCCCCCCCCCCAGUGCGGACGAGCCCACGCUCCCUCUCGUCAGCGGCUGAUUCCGAGGCUGAGCCCGCACGGGCAGGAAGUGGGGAAGUCUGAGGAAAGAAGCGCGUCACGUACCGCUCGAGCGAGCAGAUGGGGAGCAUCGGACCGAGCCCCUCCCUCCCUGGGUUGCUUCCCAGAGAUGAGAUUUCCAGAUCAGCACCUUGGAGAGCCACAGUGAUAGUCUUCCCUCAGCCUGCAGUUCAAAGCUCCACCGUCAAAGUCCACCAGGCGAGUACACUUCAAUCACACAGGACCUGUACAAUACAAUCACACUGGGCCUGUUGAAAUUCCCCGGACCUCUUUGCGAAAAGACCGGCCCGCUAACUAGGCACAAAAGUUAACCCGCUGCUGUUACUCUCUCCCAUUAUUUAGGCCUGUAAAUAUGACUUGAUAAAAAGAGAGCCAUCCCUUCCGCAGCAGUUUCCAGUCCCCUCAGAGGUGUGAAAACUAUAUGGGGAAUGCGAACAGAUGUCCCGCAGGUCAAAGGCCGCGAGCGCACGACCGAAUCGGAAAUGGAAUCUUCUAGAAAAGAUCGGCGAGCGGGGUGUGCGGGCCUGACCUCGAGAGACGCGCUCCUUUUCGUGGAGGACAUGCUUGGGAAUGUACUGAUCAGGACGGCCAAAACAAUCACAGCUCAGGCUCUUUGGUAUGUAAGACCAAAAAAAACAAACAAAUUGAGCUCUCCUCGGUACUGGGAGUGUGGGCUGGGCGUGAGUGGGUGCAUGGGAGGGGCAUGGGCAGGGCAUGGAAGGGUCGGGACACAGCUGCGAUGGGUCAUGUUAUGCAGGGGACCAGCAGUAUGGCAGUUUGACCCUAACAUGACACAGGCACAUGACAUGAAAGCAAAGCCUUACAAUACGGGCUGCAGUCUGCAAUAUUCCACCGCACAUUCCAACGACUUGAGUAAUACGCACAUAAACAAAUGAAAACAGAGCAAAGGAAAACAUGUUAAGAGACAUGAAGUGAAUCUCAGGACCGUACACGCUCGCGUUUAAGUGCUACAAACCCGGUCCUUUAGAACACUGAUUU